ACGGAAGUUCGCACGACGUUGACGGUUCUAGCCUGAGCCAUGGCGCGGCUGGUUGUCGGCAUCCUGAUCUGUGGAUCAGGUCGAGGGCUUUCCGGUAGCGCCGGCAGCGCGUGCAGUAAAUGCAGCAGGGGUGGCCACUGUGUGGUAGGGCGGUGAAGUUGGAUUGCGCUCUCAUCCCCUACGGCGAAACGGUGGGGAGAUUGACUGCGCCCAGGGCGCUGCCGCCUACCAGCGAGCUCGCAGUUGCUCCGGCGGCCAUGGAGUUCUUAAUGCAGCCGAUAAACAGGUGACUGAUAACAACAGCACAAUGGAGCCCGUGCGGUUCCUAAUCACCGCGCAGCCGGAGGUUGAGCUUCCAGCACCGGCGGCUUCAAGUGCGGACGCCCAGAUCUGUCGUGCAGAGACGGGAACUGCGGAGAUGGCCCAGACUUCCGAGCACUCCAUAGAGCAAUUGGACCCCAAAACACCUGGUUGGAUACAAAGAGUGCGUGUAGGUGCUGCUGCUGUAGGCAGGGCUCCUUGCCUGGACAGGGUCACAGCGCUGGAGAAGACCAUGAGGGAAUUUGCGGAUCAUCCAGGAGACAGAGUCAUUGUGCCAAAGAUAGGUACAAGUUUCGACACUCUUGGUGAGGCAUACGACUUUUACAAUUUGUACUCCUGGGAGAAAGGAUUUGGCAUUAGAUAUGGGAAGAGCAGACUAAAUGUGAACAGGACAAAGUUGGAAAUACUCGUUCCUGCCGCUGUGAAUGGCCAGCCCUCAUGAGAUUGCUGGGGUCAAAGGACAAUGGAUGCCCAAUGCAUAUCUUUGUGAGGAAGUGUAUGAGUUUAAUUUCUGAUAGGGAGUCGAGGAAAAUUAUGAGGAGAAGCGGACAACAAUCGGGAGGCCCCUUAUGCGAGCAAAUAUGGCAACCGAGAGACAUGCUGGGCAGAUAUACACUAGAGCUAUAUUUGAGCAAUUCGGUCAUAUACUAUAGGAGUGUGGUGCAUAUCAGGUGGAAGAGAUCAAAAAGGGUAAAGAGUAUAUGGCAAUACCUACAGAUGCAACACGAAGAGAGAAGUGGUGCAGAACUUCAUACAAGGUGAUGGUGCUUGAAGGAGGGGAGGAAUUUGACUGCAAGUGUGGUCAAUUUGCACACAUGGGGCUGUUGUGCAGCCAUAUCCUUAAGGUGCCUUCAUCCGUGUGACAGAAAUCCCAAAGAAGCACAUAGUGAAGAGGUGGACCAGAGAUGCAAGAGAUAUCCUUCAACGCACCUAAUUCAGUACCAGAGGGACAACGCUCAAGAAAACCCGUUUAGUUUCCGACAUUUCAAUAUGUACAUGCAAGCCAUGGAGCUUGUGCGGAUGGGCAACUCAAGUGUAGCAGCUUAUGAACAUUUGAUUGCAUUGUUCAAGCAAUGUGCAUCAGAGAUGAAGCCAUUCACAGAAGUCAGAGAUGGUUUAUGUCUGGAAGACAGGUUAGCAGGCAAUAUUAGGAUUCCGAACAGGAUACAAUCAGAAGGCGAUGUAUAUCAAGGAGUAGAUGACAUGUUAGCGUGGGCAACGCUGACAGCAAUUCAGCAAAUGAGUAUGUGAUUAGGCUUUCAAACUUAUUAGCACCAGCUAAGCGUAAACAAGUGGGCAGACGGACAACCAGUAGGGAGAAAGCUCCAUAUGAAGGUUUAAGUAAAAGAACAGGGUUUUGUGUCAUAUGCAGGCAGCAAGGCCACAAGCGGACAACAUGUCCUGAAGGCGGUGACAUACCAAAACAGCCUCGUAAGCCGGCUAGAUGCAAGAACUGUGGAGUUGAAGGACACCGCCGGAACAACUGUCACAAAGCAGCAGAACUACGGCUGAGAUAAUUGUCUUUCACCUGUAGGCAUUUCUCGAUAAAUAAUCAGCAAUAACUUGUUUAAUUCUGUCUGAGUGUUUUUGAUGUCAUUGAGCUAGGAGUAAUCAGCUAGUUGGUUCUGUACUGUGUAACUGAUAUGUGUUCUUUCAUCUAGUUUGUAUGAUCUGAAUUUUCUGAAUAUGUUGUGGACGUGUUCAGACAGCUGUGAGACUUUCGUCUGGUUUUUCCAGAAUAAAUUGGCGGCUGCG